UCGAACGGUAACAGGGAAGCACCUUGCUGCUUCGCUGACGAGUGGCGGACGGGUGAGUAAUGUCUGGGAAACUGCCUGAUGGUAGGGGGAUAACUACUGGAAACGGUAGCUAAUACCGCAUAACGUCGCAAGACCAAAGAGGGGGACCUUCGGGCCUCUUGCCAUCGGAUGUGCCCAGAUGGGAUUAGCUAGUAGGUGGGGUAACGGCUCACCUAAGCGACGAUCCCUAGCUGGUCUGAGAGGAUGACCAGCCACACUGGAACUGAGACACGGUCCAGACUCCUACGGGAGGCAGCAGUGGGGAAUAUUGCACAAUGGGCGCAAGCCUGAUGCAGCCAUGCCGCGUGUAUGAAGAAGGCCUUCGGGUUGUAAAGUACUUUCAGCGGGGAGGAAGGUGAUGAGGUUAAUAACCUCGGCAAUUGACGUUACCCGCAGAAGAAGCGCCGGCUAACUCCGUGCCAGCAGCCGCGGUAAUACGGAGGGUGCAAGCGUUAAUCGGAAUUACUGGGCGUAAAGCGCACGCAGGCGGUCUGUCAAGUCGGAUGUGAAAUCCCCGGGCUCAACCUGGGAACUGCAUUCGAAACUGGCAGGCUAGAGUCUUGUAGAGGGGGGUAGAAUUCCAGGUGUAGCGGUG
rnacentral:rRNA from 1 species